UUUCCUUCAGUGUUCUCUCCCCUGGCAGCUCCCUCCACAGAGCUGCUUCCCUUAAGCCUGGUCUCCCUUGCUUCCUCAGUGCCUGCGCCUUUCCCUGCCAUCUCGCUGCCUGAAUCAGUCUCUUCCAGUUUCCUGUGUCCCCCUUUUGCCUGCUGCAUGUCUCCUUUUAUCCUGGAAUUCUGGCUGGCUCCCCGUCUCCUCCUGAAACACCGGGUGAAGAAGGAGCCCUGUAUAGUUGUUUGCAAUACAGUGAGCAGACGUGGAUAGUGCCACGAGACAUGCGCCAGCGAGGUCAACCGGUGGCUUUGGAGCUGGUGUUACCAGGUGUACCUUGGGUUCUUGGACCAUGACCUGCAUUUCUGCACAAAGGACAAGCUUGAGUGGGAUGGGCUUCAUCUCUCCCCAAAAGGUGGCUCCAGAGUCAAUAUGUCUUCCUGGAUCCCAGCUCUUACCUUCCAACUGAGCUCCACACGUCCAAGCAGAGCCAUCCCCCAGAAUCUCACCUUCUCCAUCUGCGCCCCUUGGAUCCUCUUCUUCCGGACCUAUGCUCCAUUCUUGCUCCUCCAGCACACCACACUGAGCCACACCCCUUCCUUUUAACUUCAAACAACAGCUGCUCCAGAAGCAGUGUUUUUCUGGCACAAUCCCUGUUUUCCUUUCCCUGAUCUCCCUUUUAGCCAGUCCCUCAUCACAAUGACUCAUUAUAACUUGCCUAACAUCUGGCUCACCCAGGUACCUCUUCACUAUUUACCAGCUAUAUUCUUUCCCCUUGGCCUGUAUCUUAACCCACUGACUCCUCAAUUUACAUUUUCACUAACUGCCUUUUUGCAUGCAUACCAGCCUCUGGCUUCUUUAGUAUUCAUUCCAUCCAGGAAGAGCACGCAACAACUAUAGAUGCUUCCUCAGCCUAAUGAAGGGUAUUUAUACCCAAAACCUUGCUAAGAAGAAUUUUUCCAACUAUCUGAGUUUUCUAAUAAAAGAUAUCAGAUUUA